rnacentral:lncRNA from 1 species
GGGUGCCAGAGUACAGGGGUGCCAGAGUACAGGGGUGCCAGAGUACAGGGGUGCCAGAGUACAGGGGUGCCAGAGUACAGGGGUGCCAGAGUACAGGGGUGUCAG